rnacentral:snoRNA from 1 species
CUGACGUGGACAUCCCGUGAGGUUUGCUCUCCCAUGGCUCUGUCCUUGUGGCGUAUGGGAGCGUAGCACUUCGUUGCUGUGACGUACAGUCCCUUUCCACGACGUCGGAGAGCAAGCUUUGUCCCCCGGCCCUCGGGCUGGCGAGGACGGCGUUCUGUAUAUUCCUACAUCUUCCCAGAGCCCUUUGGGCCGUGACUGGGGGGCUAAACCAUGCAUUGCACAAUU